rnacentral:lncRNA from 11 species
AUGAAUAGGGGGAGAAAAAACCUGCACUGGUUUCUGCCAGAGUCUUUGAAGUUCAAUCUUGAGGUCCUGAUAGCGGCUGAGUUUUUCCUGUUGUUUUUCCUCAAUGCGACUGUCACCUGGGAUGGCGACAUCAAUGAUCCAAACCUUUUUCCUUUCCACAACUGUGAUGUCUGGUGUGUUGUGUUCCAGAACUUUGUCAGUCUGGAUUCGAAAGUCCCACAGUAUCUUUGCGUGCUCAUUUUCCAAUACUUUUGCAAUUUUGUGAUCCCACCAGUUCUUUACUGCUGGGAGGUGGUACUUGAGGCAUAAGUUCCAAUGAAUCAUUUGGGCCACAUGGUUGUGCCUCUGUUUGUAGUCUGUCUGUGUGAUUUUCUUACAGCAGCUGAGGAUAUGAUCAAUGGUUUCGUCAGUUUCCUUGCACAGUGCAUUUUGGGUCAUCAGCUGAUUUUUUUAUCUUGGCCUUAAUUGCAUUUGUUCUGAUGGCUUGCUCGCUGGGGCCUCCACCCCCCACCCCCCACCCCCUGCAACCUUGACGUGGUGGGGGGGCUUAACCACUCCAAUGAUGACUGAGGGCUGUGCUGGUGGUAGUGUAACUACCGGCAGGUCCAACCAAGCCAGAGAGGCCUCAGCUGAGGAGUGGAACCAAGUGCACCUAACCCAUUAGCAUUAUGGAGAAUCAAACCAAAACGAAGUCUAUACUGGCUCGGUCGUCGCCCAGGAUAAAAAGGACCGUGGUGGAUGCUGCUGAUUCUGGACAUCCAUCGACAAGUGAGCUACGGAAUCAAAAUACAAAUGAACAGUCACAGAAGCGGCAAAAAUAUACAAUGCCAG